rnacentral:rRNA from 1 species
CCUACGGGAGGCAGCAGUGGGGGAUAUUGCACAAUGGGGGGAACCCUGAUGCAGCGACGCCGCGUGGGUGAAGAAGCGCCUCGGCGCGUAAAGCCCUGUCAGCAGGGAAGAAAAUGACGGUACCUGAAGAAGAAGCCCCGGCUAACUACGUGCCAGCAGCCGCGGUAAUACGUAGGGGGCAAGCGUUAUCCGGAUUUACUGGGUGUAAAGGGGGCGCAGACGGCGAUGCACGCCAGGAGUGAAAGCGCGGGGCCCAACCCCGGGAGUGCUCUUGGAACUGCGUGGCUGGAGGGCAGGAGGGGCAGGCGGAAUCCGUGGUGUAGCGGUGAAAUGAGUAGAUAUCAGGAGGAACACCGGGGGCGAAGGCGGCCUGCUGGACUGCAACUGACGUUGAGGCCCGAAAGCGUGGGGAGAAAACAGGAUUAGAUACCCCAGUAGUC